UACGUAGGGUGCAAGCGUUGUCCGGAAUUAUUGGGCGUAAAGAGCUCGUAGGCGGUCUGUUAUGUCGGCUGUGAAAACCUGGGGCUCAACCCCGGGCCUGCAGCCGAUACGGGCAGACUAGAAUUCGGUAGGGGAGACUGGAAUUCCUGGUGUAGCGGUGAAAUGCGCAGAUAUCAGGAGGAACACCGGUGGCGAAGGCGGGUCUCUGGGCCGAUAUUGACGCUGAGGAGCGAAAGCGUGGGGAGCGAACAGG
rnacentral:rRNA from 1 species